AGUGCUUGGAAACGUAAUACUCAGAAGUAAACUCGUGAAACAUCCAGAAACCUUGUGUAUAUGGAUGUAUACUGGUGGAAGUUUCUAGGAAUCCUCACAGCUGGUUGUAAGGAGUGCUGGUUGUGAGGUGUGAAGGGUUAAUGACAGAGUUGCUGUCUCUGUUUUCAAAGCUGGGUGGGGGGUUCAAGGCAGCACAUAACAUAAAAACAUUAUAUAUCUACAAGUGUGUUUACUAAAUACAUGUAUUAUUAUGCUAAUGUAAUUUAAUUGAUAAAGGUUUUUUUAUUUAAGAAAAUCUGAGCAUCACUCAAAAUAACUGUCAACAUGUUUGUCAACUAAACAUGUUUUGUAAACGUUAUACAUUUUAUAAAAAUAUUUAAUAUUUUUAUUAUUGAUAAAGUAUAAAGAACAAAUCAGUGUGAAAACGCAGAUUAUAAAAAGUACAUAAAGUGCCAGCAGAGGAUCCAAAAUAAUGAAAAAAAAAAAAAAACAUCCAAUGCAACUUGGAAAUUGUAGUCAAAAUACAUCUACAGCAGCAUGCUAAAGCAGUACCAACGCCAGGGCAAAAGACUCAAAUUCCCAGAAUGCACCUGCACCCACCCAUUCAUUCCCACCAAUCAGGAUCAACGGCAUUUUUCAAACCGCUACUGACUCGUUUUCAUGCUAAACAGUACGGCUGAGAGGUCAUGUACCAUGUGGUCGACCUUGCUGACGCUGAAGAGGUUUCUGUGUAAAAAUGAUAUGCAGUGAGGGAGUGAUUCCCCAACAUCGAGGUGGCAGAGAUCCGGGACCUUCUACGGAGGAAGUGCAACAAUGCCAGUUACAAGGCCUCCAGUAGUUCAAAUCAGAGCUAGAUGUCCAUAUAGUACAAGUUGUUCGCAAUUGUUCUCUUCCCGGCAUUUCAAAGAAAGUCGACUGUUUAAGGU